rnacentral:rRNA from 1 species
UACGGAGGGUGCAAGCGUUAUCCGGAUUUAUUGGGUUUAAAGGGUCCGUAGGCGGAUCUGUAAGUCAGUGGGGAAAUCUCACAGCUUAACUGUGAAACUGCCAUUGAUACUGCAGGUCUUGAGUGUUAUUGAAGUAGCUGGAAUAAGUAGUGUAGCGGUGAAAUGCAUAGAUAUUACUUAGAACACCAAUUGCGAGGGCAGGUUACUAAGCAACAACUGACGCUGAUGGACGAAAGCGUGGGGAGCGAACAGG